GGGAGCCGUGAGCACCCUGGCCUUCCAGAUUUUAACCUGUUUCUGUGUCUCUUUAUUUUUCAUCUUCAUCGCCUGUUGGUCAGGUCCGAGCUUGUGGGAUGGUUCCUACAGGUGUCAUCUAAGAAGAGACAGACACAGGGAAGGCAGGGAAGUCAGCCAUAUGAAAGGAGAGAUAGAGACUGGAUUGGUGCUGCCACAGCCAAGAAAUACCUGGGGUGAACAGAAGCCAGAAAAGAUUCCACGAGCCUUGGGUCACUGGAAUGCCCAGCGUUCACACCAAAGCUAAGCUGAGACAUGAGGGAUCGAACUCAGGUCCUUGUGCUUGCGCAGCAGGCAGCAAAACCACUGAGAUGGUGUUAUUCUUGUAUGAGGG
ensembl:lncRNA